rnacentral:rRNA from 1 species
AGAGAUGCACUGGGCUUAAAGGGUGCGCAGGCGGUUUUGUAAGACAGAGGUGAAAUCCCCGGGCUCAACCUGGGAACUGCCUUUGUGACUGCAAGGCUGGAGUGCGGCAGAGGGGGAUGGAAUUCCGCGUGUAGCAGUGAAAUGCGUAGAUAUGCGGAGGAACACCGAUGGCGAAGGCAAUCCCCUGGGCCUGCACUGACGCUCAUGCACGAAAGCGUGGGGAGCAAACA